AGAGUUUGAUCCUGGCUCAGAUUGAACGCUGGCGGCAGGCCUAACACAUGCAAGUCGAACGGUAACAGAAAGCAGCUUGCUGCUUUGCUGACGAGUGGCGGACGGGUGAGUAAUGUCUGGGAAACUGCCUGAUGGAGGGGGAUAACUACUGGAAACGGUAGCUAAUACCGCAUAACGUCGCAAGACCAAAGAGGGGGACCUUAGGGCCUCUUGCCAUCGGAUGUGCCCAGAUGGGAUUAGCUAGUAGGUGGGGUAAAGGCUCACCUAGGCGACGAUCCCUAGCUGGUCUGAGAGGAUGACCAGCCACACUGGAACUGAGACACGGUCCAGACUCCUACGGGAGGCAGCAGUGGGGAAUAUUGCACAAUGGGCGCAAGCCUGAUGCAGCCAUGCCGCGUGUAUGAAGAAGGCCUUCGGGUUGUAAAGUACUUUCAGCGGGGAGGAAGGGAGUAAAGUUAAUACCUUUGCUCAUUGACGUUACCCGCAGAAGAAGCACCGGCUAACUCCGUGCCAGCAGCCGCGGUAAUACGGAGGGUGCAAGCGUUAAUCGGAAUUACUGGGCGUAAAGCGCACGCAGGCGGUUUGUUAAGUCAGAUGUGAAAUCCCCGGGCUCAACCUGGGAACUGCAUCUGAUACUGGCAAGCUUGAGUCUCGUAGAGGGGGGUAGAAUUCCAGGUGUAGCGGUGAAAUGCGUAGAGAUCUGGAGGAAUACCGGUGGCGAAGGCGGCCCCCUGGACGAAGACUGACGCUCAGGUGCUAAAGCGUGGGAGCAAACAGGAUUAGAUACCCUGUAGUCCACG
rnacentral:rRNA from 1 species